UCUCCUGGAAACGGGUGGUAAUGCCGGAUGCUCCGACUCUCGCAUGGGGUGUCGGGAAGAUUUCAUCGGUAUGGGAUGGGGUCGCGUCCUAUCAGGUAGUCGGCGGGGUAACGGCCCACCGAGCCUACGACGGGUAGCCGGCCUGAGAGGGCGACCGGCCACAUUGGGACUGAGAUACGGCCCAGACUCCUACGGGAGGCAGCAGUGGGGAAUAUUGCACAAUGGGCGCAAGCCUGAUGCAGCGACGCCGCGUGCGGGAUGACGGCCUUCGGGUUGUAAACCGCUUUUGAUCGGGAGCAAGCCUUCGGGUGAGUGUACCUUUCGAAUAAGCACCGGCUAACUACGUGCCAGCAGCCGCGGUAAUACGUAGGGUGCAAGCGUUAUCCGGAAUUAUUGGGCGUAAAGGGCUCGUAGGCGGUUCGUCGCGUCCGGUGUGAAAGUCCAUCGCUUAACGGUGGAUCUGCGCCGGGUACGGGCGGGCUGGAGUGCGGUAGGGGAGACUGGAAUUCCCGGUGUAACGGUGGAAUGUGUAGAUAUCGGGAAAGAACACCA
rnacentral:rRNA from 1 species